rnacentral:rRNA from 1 species
CUGGUGUCACUGGUUUCUCCCUUCUGAAGAACCGUGAUGUCAUUAAUUUGGUGUCGCGGGGAAUCAGGACUGUUACUUUGAAAAAAUUAGAGUGUUUAAAGCAGGCUCACGCUUGAAUACAUUAGCAUGGAAUAAUGAAAUAGGACGUUUGACCCUAUUUUGUUGGUUUCUAGGAUCGACGUAAUGAUUAAUAGGGAUAGUUGGGA